rnacentral:lncRNA from 1 species
UGAAGUAACACCACAGGAAAUAUACCAUCCUAUCACAGCAGUGAAGAUAGGACUGACAAGAACGAUUAUGUGUGAAGAGCCUAUGGAACAACCUGAUGUAGAAUUUCUACAGAACAAAAGAGCUAUUAUGAUCAAAGUUAUUAUUCUAGAGUUAAUAAACAGUUAUGAAAAAGGAGGAAAAUGGAUCUACAACAGCAAAUACAGUACAAUUAUCUAUUCAAAUGCCAAGACGACAAAGGACAUAGAAGAACUACCUAGAUGGAUUACUACCCUUGCAAAUUGGGAAAUUACGCCAACAAUUAAUGCAUUGAGGACAUAUCCGAAGUAGAUGACAGAGAAGACAAA